GUCGUCUUGGCGCGGCAGGAAGCAACUGCCUUUAGCUUCCGGGGUCAUGCUGUCAUUCAUCCUCUGGCUGGCGUGCUGAGUGGGCUGUUAACCUGCAUCGAUCAAAGCUACUACACCAAUUCCACGCCUGGCGGUGCUGGCGUCGUCCACUCGGCGGUCGGAUGUUCUCCCACUGAACCCUUUUGUGAUGUUCCACACCUGAUGGCGAGCCACCCACAUGCUGCUUGCCGCCUGCCUUGCUGCGUGGACGAUGGCCUGCGUCAGCAGAGGAAUUGAACCCCGCACAGCGCCCUCUACUGCUGAUGUACCAGAAAUACCUGCGGCGCCAACGGCUCCGCACCACAACCUGGUUCCUGCCCGUUCAGGUCUUGGCCAGCAGGGGGCGCACACAGUCACUGGCUGGCAUUUAAGUCAUUGUUAAGGGUCAAAGAAAAGGAGAUGGGGGUGGCGGCGGCACUUGGUCCCGUGCGUCGGCUCGUUCCCCUCAGAGUGAGUCCGCUCCGUCGUACGGCUUUUGGACGCACUCUUCAUUAAAACGCAAUGGCCUUGGCAACAGAACAUGUAAACAAAGGAAUUGGACCAGUCGGCAUAAACGCCACUCCUCACGGGCGAGGCGGAAGUGGGAACAGGUCAGAGGUCACGCUGGUUGAGGGUUAGCCCAGGUUGGAGAAGAUUAGAUCCAUUGGUCAUGUCUACUUCCCAAGGCAAGAAUGACAUUUCAUUUCAUCGUGGCUUUUUAUACAUUCUUCUUGUGUGUGCAUGUGUGUGUGUGUGCGGGUGUGUGUGCGUGCGUGUCAUCCAUCUCCUUAGGAAACGCUUGCACGUCCCUGGCUCAAGAACGAAGAACGUGCACCAAUUGUCCAAUGAGGGAAGCCGGAGCCCCUGAGCUCGCCCAAUCGCAGAAAUGAGGUGGGGGGGGGGGGGGGGUGUCACAGUCUAGUUCCACUUGAUCCUCCACAGAUGGAGGGAAUGCAGUUUCCGUGGUGAUGAGAAAGGGGAGGAGUCUAAACCUCCGCCCCUUUCAGGCCGAUUCGUUCCUCCUCCUGUCAGUCACUGCUGGGCUUCUCCAGCGAGAAGGCGGAGAUGCCAAAGUGGCCGCUGAGCUGCUGGACCUGCAGAUGGAGAAGGUAGGACGCACGGUCACGGACCACCACAACGUAGCUCUGCAGACAUUUGACUUUGGCAGCAGCCAGAAAGCUCACCACUGACACGCCAUAGUGUACGUGCGCUACGACGACGGCCGCUGUCCACAGGUGCAACAGCAGCUCCUCGUCCGAUGCCAAGCCGGACACGGCCAGCGCCACCACGGCGGCCAUGGGCAGCAGCAGCGGCCAGCUGAGCGCUUGGCAACGCGUGUUGCUCAUCUGACACACAAUCAGCUUGCACUGACACACACACACACACACACACACUUAGAUGCACAUCUUCCUCGUCUGUUGGACUUGGAGGACACACUCACCGUGACAUUGGCGAAGGCCGUCCCCACCAUGAGGUAGAAGACCCUGGGCUGCAGCUCCAGGAUGUUGGAUGGAGAUAACAUCACCCACGUGGUGGACAGGAGGAAGAGGAGUGUGGGGGAGAGGAAGGGCAGCAGGGCUUCGUACGCGCUGCUGUGCUUCAGGGAGUUGCUGCGCUGAGCCCUGGACACACACACGUCACUGCUGCUACAUGCUAACAUUAGCAGAAUAGCAUUAGUACUGCUACAGCUACAUGCUAACAUAGCAAGAAGACAUUAUUGGGGCUACAUGCCAACAUAGGCAGAUGACAUAGUGCUACAGCUACGUGCUAACUUAAAGAAGAUGACAUUAGUACUACAGUUACCUGCUUACAUGAAGUGAAGACAUUAUUGGGUGCUACAUGCUAACAGGAGCUAAAUGACAUUAUUGGUGCUACGGUUACAUGCUAACAUGACUUAAACUGCAUAAGCAUGGUGCCAACAGGUGAGAACGGUACCUGAGGACGUUGUAGAGGCUCAUGGGUAAGGUCACAGUGAAGGAACAUGCUGGAAAAGAGGAGAUGAAAAGUGCUAACGUGCUACAUGUGAUGUAUUUUGCAAUCAAAACUCACCAAUGAUCAUGAAGGUGAAAAGAUCUCUGUACAGGAAGUGGAACAGGACUGGCUGGUACCAUGUUUCUACGCCCACCACGGAGGUUACCACGUAGACCAGGGAGAUGGUCUGGAAGGAGAUGGAAGUGUUGUGUGACAGGAUGAAGGAGAACAGCACCACCCACAGGAUGUAGUAGAGCGUGGCCACGCCCACACCGCUCUCUCCACGCCCAAAUAUGGAGUAAACCGUGGCCACAAAAAAGAUACAUGCCCAGCUGUCCAGUCCGUGGUCAAACAGCUCCCCCAGUGGUGUGGAGGAGUUGGUGCGCCGUGCUUGUUUGCCAUCCACGCCGUCUGUGUGACACAAAGAGUCUGGGUCACGUAGGGGCCGCCCCGUGCCAGAGCACGUGAGAACAUGUGAUGCUCCUCACCCAGCGUAUAGGCCAAGAAGUUGAAGAUCCCCGCGGUGACCCACACCCAGCUGGGCACGUGCGAUUGGCCAGCGGCUGCAACACCAAGGCUGAGAUAUGAACGGCAUCUGGCCACAUUACUCCCCCCCCCGCCUUGGAGCGGCACCAACAUGGCCGACCACAGCCGGAAGAUCAAUAUUGGCUCAGCUGCAUGUUAAGCACCUUCUGCCUUUACGACACAGGAUGCCUGACCUUGACAUCAUGCACACUUCACUCCUUUUGGGUCAACAUUUGCAAUAAAGUGACUGUCGUAGAGA